AAUAUUUGACAAUGGGGGCAACCCUGAUCCAGCCAUGCCGCGUGUGUGAAGAAGGUCUUCGGAUUGUAAAGCACUGUAAUUUGGGAGGACGGGCGUUAGGUUAAUACCCUGAAGUUUUGACGUUACCAACAGAUGAAGCACCGCCUAACUCUGACCCAGCAGCCGCGGUAAUACAGAGGGUGCAAGCGUUAAUCGGAAUUACUGGGCGUAAAGCGCGCGUAGGUGGUUCAGUAAGAUGGGUGUGAAAUCCCCGGGCUUAACCUGGGAACUGCUUUCAUAACUGCUGAGCUAGAGUACGGUAGAGGGUAGUGGAAUUUCCUGUGUAGCGGUGAAAUGCGUAGAUAUAGGAAGGAACACCAGUGGCGAAGGCGACUACCUGGACUGAUACUGACACUGAGGUGCGAAAGCGUGGGGAGCAAAC
rnacentral:rRNA from 1 species